ACCAGAGAUGGUUUCGUGCUCGAAAGAGAACCUGCACACAGGUGCUGCAUGGCUGUCGUCAGCUCGUGUCGUGAGAUGUUGGGUUAAGUCCCGCAACGAGCGCAACCCUUGCCAUCAGUUGCUACGAAAGGGCACUCUGAUGGGACUGCCGGUGACAAACCGGAGGAAGUGGGGAUGACGUCAAGUCCUCAUGGCCCUUAUAGGUGGGGCUACACACGUCAUACAAUGGCCGGUACAAAGGGCAGCCAACCCGCGAGGGGGAGCCAAUCCCAUAAAGCCGGUCGUAGUCCGGAUCGCAGUCUGCAACUCGACUGCGUGAAGUCGGAAUCGCUAGUAAUCGUGGAUCAGCAUGUCACGGUGAAUACGUUCCCGGGUCUU
rnacentral:rRNA from 1 species